rnacentral:rRNA from 1 species
UACGUAGGGUGCGAGCGUUAAUCGGAAUUACUGGGCGUAAAGCGUGCGCAGGCGGUUCGUUAAGUUCGUUGUGAAAGCCCCGGGCUCAACCUGGGAACUGCAAUGGAAACUGGCGGGCUUGAGUGUGGCAGAGGGGGGUGGAAUUCCACGUGUAGCAGUGAAAUGCGUAGAGAUGCGGAGGAACACCGAUGGCGAAGGCAGCCCCCUGGGCCAACACUGACGCUCAGGCACGAAAGCGUGGGGAGCAAACAGG